AUGGGGCCUCUUCAAGGUCUCUGGGCAUGGCGAACUGGAGAGCAGUGCAUGCCCAACAUAUGGCGCUCGCUUGACGCCAUGGACGACCAGGAGGGAGGCCUCAUAUUCUCCGCCCAACUUGAUCCGAUGAGGGCGGGCUUCGAUCCUACUCUGAUCAGCUUCCCUGUUCCAGCGCUAAUUAGUCGCCUUCUCGGAUGGAGUAACAACAGUGGCCAAGGAAGGCCGCAGGGAUUCGUGAUGGUCGCCGCCGCCGCUGUUGCUCUUUACGUGGCUGCACUCUUUGUUUCUGGUCAGCAGCCUCGCCGGCGACGUCUGGCUGCUUCUGCUGCAGCUAGGCCAACUUCUGCAGCCAGACCUCGUGCUCUCCCUCUGCCUGCGCCGGACGGCGGGCUCCUCAGAAUACUGUCAGGGAAUAAUCACGAAUAUCUGGAGAAGGUGGUCCACAGCGCGUCCAUCGGUGCCCGGGACGACGACGAGCCGGUUCCGGUCGCAAGAGUUCAGAGCAUGCUGGACAAGGAGCAGGAGGACGAUGUCGAGCGGUUCAAGGAGUUGUGGCUGUCGCUCGUGGAGCGGGAGCAGAGGCUAGAGCUCCAGCUGAUGCACCUCGACGGCCUUAGAGAGCAGCUCGAGCACCGCCUCAGCGUCGCCGCCCUGGAGACGUGGAUCCUGAAGCUCGAUGCCUUGCUACUCCAUGAGGAGAACGAGAGGCUCAAGGCCCAGGCGGCGGAGCUGGAGGCCGUCCGGGCCCAGCUGGGUCGCGCCAAGGAGAAGCUUCGUGCACUCAAGGAGCGGGUGCAGAUCGAGCGGGAGGAGUCUCAGAGGGAGGCGGCCACGCCCCGGGACAAGGUAAUGCAGCUGGAAAAGUCCGGCGAGAACAGGGAAAGGGUGUUGGCUGCGGAGGCGGCGACGCUACGGAAGGCCAAGGCUGGGCUGGAGGAGGAGAACAUGGAGCUUGCUCGGAGGCUGCAGCAUGUGGAGCAGGUCUCCUCCUCUGUUACUAUUAGUCUGGUUGAUGGGGACGACAUGGUGGAUGAAGCAAACUACCUUAGGGAGGCUAACGAGAGGCUGACCAGGCAGAUCGAGCAGCUACGCAGGGACCACUGCGCGCACGUCGAGGAGCUCGUCUACCUCAAGUGGGUCAACGCCUGCCUCCGCCACGACGUUCGUGGCAGAGAUCACCACCCCUCGUCCGCCGAACAAGAUGAGGACGGUGAUGGCAGAGCCAUGACGUCGUCGGCCAUGGAUCUGAGCAAGAGCAUGAGCUACCGCUCCAGCGAGAAGGCCAAAGAGCUCAUGCUGCGGUAUGGGAGCCUCGGCCUGGACGGCCACGACCCCGCGCUCUUCUCGCCUCUCAGCGAGUCGAUAGACCGCGACGGCGAAAAUCACCAGCUGCGUGUUGGAGAUCACGACGAGCCAUGGCGGAGCCCGGUCACUCCGUCAGCAGUCGUGGCCAUACCCCAGAAUCGGGUCGGGAAUGCGAAGCUCAAAUUUGUGAGAAAUAUCAAGAAGCUGCUAGCUAGCACAAGAAGAAGCCACGGCCACAACCGCAGGAGCGAGAAGAAGGCGAUGCGGUGCCUGGCCUCCAGCAGCCACGACGCGCUCUCUGGAGACAGCUCGUACGAAUCGUCGUGCCAGAGCAGCAUGACGACCGUGGACUUGGACGCCCGUGCGCGCUGCGGGAAGGCGGCCGCAGAGGUGCCCGUCGCGUCGAGGCUGGAGGCGGAUACUCAGCUGGCUAGGUCGAAGGGCUACAUGGGUGCGUCGCUCGGGCCGGAGGCGAGAAGCUAUCACGCUCUCCGGCCGGACGGCCCAGCUGGUGUUGGGUCAGACCAGUUUAAUUAG
rnacentral:rRNA from 1 species